UAGGGUUUUUUCAUGAAAGGAUUUGUGAUGUUUGCUGAGUUUUUAUGGAAGAAAAUGAGUCUUGGGUGUCUUAUAAACAACUUUUGUGAAAGGUGUUAGCAUGAAAAGACCUAAAAGGUCUAAUGUGCAUAAGUUGUAAAUUAGAUAAUAAAUGUGUGAAAUAGUGGGAAUUUGGAGUUGCUAUAAGAGUCAAAAAGGUUCGGCUAGUCUUGAGAAAUAAAUAAAUUCGACAAAAGUCGAUUUUCGGGCCUAGGGAUAAAAUGGUCAUUUUGUCAAAAUUCAGGGGCAAAAUGGUCAUUUUACCAAAUUUGUGAAUUGUCGAUUGCUUAAUUUUAUUUAGUGACUAAAUGAGUAAUUUUUGCUAUUUUAAAUCUAGAAUUUCCAAAUCCAAAUCUAGACCGGGGGAAAGCCAAGCAACCGACUAAAUCGACUAGUCGCCACAUUUUGUAAUCCGAGUUAGCUCAAGGAGCAAAGGAAGUCAAAGAUAUCGAUCACACUAUCAAUUGAAGCAUUUGGUAUAGUUUGAUUUAUAUUUUUGAAUAUGACAUGUAUAGGUAGCUAGACUUGUGUUUUGUGUUGUUACUAAUUUGGCCAAAUAUGUUGGCUUGAGAUAAAAUUCCUUAUUUUGUAUUAAGCCUUGAAUGAUGGCUAAUAUUCAUUUUGAUAUAUGUAAAUGGUGUUUUGUUCAUGGAUGAGUAGAAUGUACAAAUGAAA